AUAUAGGCUGCGGAGAGAAAGGAGACAACCAUGGGCCAGAAACUGAAACCAAACUGGUGACAAAAGCUGGGACCAAAUCUCAAACCAGAGAAAAACACUAUUUGCAGAUAGUUUGUCAUCAGUCUUUGCAUCCCUGAUACCCGAGUAAAAUGCAGCUGAGAGGAGUCACCUAGUUGCCCCUCGGCCCUGAGCCAGUGUUUGGUGAUAUGACCCCUCUGCUCCCCAAGCCUCAUGCCAAGUCAGCCACACUCAACACACCAUCAUCACAGAGCGCCUGCCACUCAUUUUGAGGCUCUUAGCUUUCUUCGGCUCAGCUGCCCAAGCAUCAUUCUUCAGGAAUUGCUCCCUGCUCUUCUCAGAGCUUCCAGAUGUUCCCUAACCAAAGAGAAGAAAUAACACACCAUUUCUUUAGUCUCCAUAUAAUGAAAAGAUGGUCCAGGCCCAAAUGUCUCAAGAUGCCAGACCCCUUUUAAAGGACAUGAUCAUAACAUAGGCAGGGUUUUUUGGAUAUCUGCAUGGGUAUAUUUAAAUCAAAAACAGAUAUGAAGCCAACAAGCAUGAUGCUAUAAGGUCAACACUCCAAGAUAAAUAAUGUUUUUAUUGCCAAUCAAGGUCUGUUCUUGCAUGGUUUAGGAGUACAUCAUACCACUUUCCAAAACAGAAUUAAUGGAGAUUAAGAUCCAUUCAUUUUCUGAUUUCAGACUUGCAAAUGACCCCCACGAAAUGUGGAGUGGGAUAGGACCUCCAACAGAAGGGUCCGAGGCCAGCGGAUUUCCCAUGGAUACUGCCAAGUAGGAGGAUACCUUUUCCAAAGAUCACACUGUUUCCUAAUGUAGAUUUCUCCAUCACUCUUGCUGGUAUUUUUGAUGGAGUCUUUUCUGAUUAAAACAUAUUCAGUGGUUGAACAUCCCCAGAAAAACACAGGCUCAUUAUUUAAACUGCUUUGGUAGAGUUUUUUACAGUUCAAAUAUUAUAGCUGAUACCAGGUUUACUUCUGAAUUCCACCUGCUGUCUCACCUAACUAGCAGUCCUUUGCUUCAUCUACCCUGAGAAACAAGGU
rnacentral:lncRNA from 9 species